rnacentral:rRNA from 1 species
GAUGAACGCUGGCUACAGGCUUAACACAUGCAAGUCGAGGGGAAACGACCGGGAAGCUUGCUUCCCCGGGCGUCCACCCGCGCACGGGAGAGUAACGCGUAUUCCACCUGCCUCUGACUUAGGGAUAACCCGCCGAAAGUCGUCCCAAUACCUCACGGCAUCUUCUGCGGGCAUCCAACGACGAUUAAAGAGUUCAUCGGUCAGGGAUGGGGAUGCGUCUGAUUAGCUUGUUGGCGGGGUAACGGCGCACCAAGGCGACGCUCAGUAGGGGUUCUGAGAGGAGGGUCCCCCACAUUGGAACUGGGACACGGGCCAAACUGCUACGGGAGACAGCAGUGAGGAAUGUUGGUCAAUGGGCGGGAGCCUGAUCCGGCCAAGUAGGAUGCAGGAUGGCGGCCCGAUGGAUUGUAGACUGCGUUUAUGCGGGGAUAAAGUGAGGGGCGUGACCUUCAUUGCAGGUACCGGAUGAAUAAGGACCGGCUAAUUCCGUG